GAUGAACGCUGGCGGCGUGCCUAAUACAUGCAAGUCGAGCGAAUGGAUUAAGAGCUUGCUCUUAUGAAGUUAGCGGCGGACGGGUGAGUAACACGUGGGUAACCUGCCCAUAAGACUGGGAUAACUCCGGGAAACCGGGGCUAAUACCGGAUAACAUUUUGAACCGCAUGGUUCGAAAUUGAAAGGCGGCUUCGGCUGUCACUUAUGGAUGGACCCGCGUCGCAUUAGCUAGUUGGUGAGGUAACGGCUCACCAAGGCAACGAUGCGUAGCCGACCUGAGAGGGUGAUCGGCCACACUGGGACGGAGACACGGCCCAGACUCCUACGGGAGGCAGCAGUAGGGAAGCGUCCGCAAUGGACGAAAGUCUGACGGAGCAACGCCGCGUGAGUGAUGAAGGCUUUCGGGUCGUAAAACUCUGUUGUUAGGGAAGAACAAGUGCUAGUUGAAUAAGCUGACACCUUGACGGUACCUAACCAGAAAGCCACGGCUAACUACGUGCCAGCCGCCGCGGUAA
rnacentral:rRNA from 1 species